ACAACGAAAAUUGCCUUUUGUCUCCUUUUCUUUUCCGAUUCCAUCUAUUCAGUCAACACACUGCUGUCUGCUACCUCAGAUCUCUUUUCCUUUUUCUUUACUUAUAUUACUGCUAUAGAAGAGUAGAUACGGAACUCAAAAACAGAGUAGAAGAAGAGAACUGUUUAAUGAACGAAGCUUUGCUGCUUGCUACCAUGUACAUCCUUGGUCUGCCAGUGGAUGUGCAUUUGACAGAUGGCUCUGUUUACGCUGGAAUCUUCCACACUGCUGCUGUUGAGAAAGAAUUUGGGAACAACAGAGAAUGCCCAGAGAAAGAGAAAGAGGUUGAGGGAGAAGAAGAUGCAGAGAAUGUCCAAUCAUUUUUUUUUUUUUUGACCUUUUGACUACUUGUCUUACGUGGCAAGUAAAUUAGCCACGUCAGCUAUUCCGUUAACCUUGCGAAGGAAAACAUUAAUGAAGGACUGAUUUGUCACUUUUCAAUAACGUUAGUGACUAUUUUAUUAUUUUUUCAAAGUUGAGUGACUGAAAUGAAACCUUGGUGACUGUUUUGUCAGUUACCCUAAAAUUGAGUAAUUAUUGAUGUAAUUUACCCUAUAUAAAUUUUCAAAUGAAAUUAAUAUGUACUAAUAUUGAUCUGGUUUAAUAUAUUAUCUCCAAAUUUAUAUU